AGGGAUGUAGCUCAGUGGUAGAGUGUGUGCUUAUCAUGUACAAGGCCUCAGGUUCAACUCCCAGCACUG
rnacentral:tRNA from 1 species